rnacentral:rRNA from 1 species
CGGGUGAGUAAUACAUAAGUAACCUGCCCUAGACAGGGGGAUAACUAUUGGAAACGAUAGCUAAGACCGCAUAGGUACGGACACUGCAUGGUGACCGUAUUAAAAGUGCCCCAAAGCACUGGUAGAGGAUGGACUUAUGGCGCAUUAGCUGGUUGGCGGGGUAACGGCCCACCAAGGCGACGAUGCGUAGCCGACCUGAGAGGGUGACCGGCCACACUGGGACUGAGACACGGCCCAG